rnacentral:rRNA from 1 species
GAUGAACGCUGACAGAAUGCUAACCCAUGCCAGUUAAAUUGAAAUUGGGUUUUUAACCUAGGUUUGGGUGGCGGACGGGUGAGUAACGCGUAAAGAACCUGCCUCACAGCUAGGGACAACAUUUUGAAACGAAUGCUUAUACCUAAUAAUAUGAUUAUAGGGCAACCUAUAAUUAUGAAAGCUAUAAGCGCCUUGAGAGAGCUUUGCGUCCCAUUAGCUAGUUGGAGAGGUAACGGCUCACCCAGGCGAUGAUGGGUAGCCGGCCUGAGAGGGUGAUCGGCCACAAGGGGACUGAGACACGGCCCUUACUCCUACGGGAGGCAGCAGUGGGGAAUAUUGGACAAUGGACCGAGAGUCUGAUCCAGCAAUUCUGUGUGCACGAUGAAGUUUUUCGGAAUGUAAAGUGCUUUCAGUUGGGAAGAAACAAAUGACGGUACCAACAGAAGAAGUGACGGCUAAAUACGUG